rnacentral:rRNA from 1 species
GGGUCAGUAGGUUGGACGUGCCACCGGUACGUACUGGUCUCACUGAUUCCUCCUUCCUGAAGAACCGUAAUGCCAUUAAUUUGGUGUUGCGGGGAAACAGGACUGUUACUUUGAAAAAAUUAGAGUGUUUAAAGCAAGCUAACGCUUGAAUACAUUAGCAUGGAAUAAUGAAAUAGGGCGAUCGAUCCUAUUUUGUUGGUUUCUAGGAUUGACGUA